rnacentral:lncRNA from 1 species
CUUCAUGGACACCAGCUGCAUUAGCCUGGCUUGUCGUCCUUGCGGCAGCCUGGGCAAAUGGCCCAACGCGAUUUAAGUAUGCUGCUGCUUGCGGCCAAGAAACAAGCAUUCCAAAACUGUCAUAUCAUCCCCUGGUUUCGUUGUAUUUGGUUUGCAUACAAGUCGACGCGGAUACUACCUGCUGUGACCGCCGUAUCAGAAGACACUUUUCCUGUACGGGCGGAACCAACAACAGCGAAGUUCAAAAAACCCGACUAGUAGCUAAAACUCAGCAUUCAUAGAGUUAAACGUCCCCGUCUGUGACUUGUACAUAACAAUCCAAGCAUCUCCUAAGCGUCUUUCUCCCCCUUCGUAAGGCCAUCGCGUCCACCAACGCACGUCUUACAUCCGCCCAGUACAGUGCCGUUGAAGCUGUGACGAGUAAUAUGAACGCUUAAGUAAUUCAUGAACAUCCGCUGCGUUUGCCUAGCAUUGUCGUAAAGGAGGUCGCGUCGGCAUCAGGCCAUCAACGUUGCGCCCAGGACAACACUUGCUGCAGCCAAGAAACAGAAAGUAUAUCUCUAUUCGUUCAUCCCCUUGGUCUUAGGGUUGCCCCUAAGACGACGUAGAUACCACCUCCUGACACCGCCGUACCGGAAAGCACUUUUCCGGUACGGGCAGAGCCAGCAGCAUUCCAGGUUCAGAAUUGAACCCAAAGGCAGAAAUCACCAUUCUGAGAGUUGAACGUCGCCAUCCAUGAUUUAGACAUACCAUUCCAUGGCCUGUGCAUGCGCGUCCGUGUCCUUCACUACAUUGCUGCUUGCGGCCAAGAAACAAGUGAUGCAAAACGUUGCCUCAUGUCCAUCCGUCCGGUCCACACACGUAAGAGCAAUUUUCCAUAACACGGAUGUAAGCACCGUUCGGGAUGUCCGUCGUGUUUGCCUCAGGAAGUCGUCCUCCCGGCGGCGGAUCGGACCCUAAGCACCGGCCGGUACCAGCUGGUACCAGCUCCUGGAGCCGCUUAAUCGAUGCUGAUCGUGAUGUGUAAUUGGUCCAGCAUAAAGCACAUUCUUCAUCAUCCGGAAGGGAUCCCUUAGCCGUAGUACAUGUAAAGGAUGCGCAGGACAAGCAGUGUAAGAGGUACUCGGAAAAGAACGCAAAAAAGACUGUUCCGUCAAAAUAGCUAACAAGCUGUACCUUAGCGGAUUGCAGGGCGCUUCUAACAUACAUGCCACCCUUUGGAAGUCAUGUUGUAGGCUUGUCCUGUUUGGUUUAUGUUGGCAUUGCAUUAAGAAGUUCAACGUGAUACCUGCAGGUUAACUGUUUACUGAUAAUUACUUAUUCGGCGGCGUGCGCAUAUUAUUCCCUUACUUCGCCGGCAGGUCCAUGGAAAGUCCCCGAAAAGAUUACAUAACGUUGCAAAACUCCUUUCAGUGCUUUCGGAAAAGAGGUCCUAGAUCUUGAGACCCUGGUAAGCCAGAAAUCGCUGACGGCUAGCGCUGUAAGCGUACCUUUUCCAUCUCCUGUAUUUUCAAAGCAUACACACGCGCGAUACUUAAGAAUACGAAAAUUUUAAACAGUUUAACAGUUCAUGUGGAAGCGUUUGCGGUGCAACUGGCGCGAACAGGACACCAGAGGUCACAGGAAUUACAGCUCUUAUGACUACUAGCAGUAUGUGUGCGUGGUUGUUACAGCAGUAGAUCUUAGGGACGAGGGGUACCUGACGGCAAUGCAUGGGCUCCAUCGAUGCAUGUGCCUCGGCAUGAAGGGUGAAUACAAUACGUUUCAUAUGCACAGACCUCAUAGUUUGCAGCAUUUUAAGGGAGGUCAAAUGUGUUUCGCNNNNNNNNNNNNNNNNNNNNNNNNNNNNNNNNNNNNNNNNNNNNNNNNNNACGUAGAUACCACCUCCUGACACCGCAGUACCGGAAAGCACUUGUCCGGUACGGGCAGAGCCAGCAGCAUUCCAGGUUCAGAAUUGAACCCAAAGGCAGAAAUCACCAUUCUGAGAGUUGAACGUCGCCAUCCAUGAUUUAGACAUACCAUUCCAUGGCCUGUGCAUGCGCGUCCGUGUCCUUCACUACGUUGCCAUCACGUCCACCAACGCACACUUGACAUCCGUCCUGUCCAGAGCCGUCGUCGCGAGCUUCGACAACAUGAAUGUAAGCAACAUUCGGAACAUCCGUCCUGUUUGCAUGGGAUUGUCGUCCUCCCGCCGGCGGAAAAGCCACUCAACGUAUUGCUUUAGAAUUCCUACCCAAGCCUAUAACACAAACAUAAUAACAUUGUCCUAGCAUUCCAUAGCCCUACUUGACUUGCCUACAAACGAGUUGCCCCGGUCGGACCCUCCAAGUCUAGCCCAGUAGCUUACUGUGGGCUGACGUUAGUGAACAUGGAAUGCAAGCUGUGUGUGUGCUCAUCCCCUUUGAAAAAGGUUUGACUACGACUUGACACACAGACUCCCUCCUGCAACAAAUGUACAUUUUCCGUACGAGCGUGACGAGCAACAUAAGAGAUCCAGAACCGACCACACCGGCAGAAUUCAUCGUUCAGUUCCUUAAACCUUCAUUUACGGUUUCCCUACAAACAGCUCCAUGCCUUGGAUAUGCGUCUGUUUUCUUCCUUACGAACAUCACAUUUUACGUUCGUCAGGGCCAGAGUCUUUGUGGCAAUCUUUCAUAUUCAGCACGCAAUGAACCCUUCAUGGACACCAGCUGCAUUAGCCUGGCUUGUCGUCCUUGCGGCAGCCUGGGCAAAUGGCCCAACGCGAUUUAAGUAUGCUGCUGCUUGCGGCCAAGAAACAAGCAUUCCAAAACUGUCAUAUCAUCCCCUGGUUUCGUUGUAUUUGGUUUGCAUACAAGUCGACGCGGAUACUACCUGCUGUGACCGNNNNNNNNNNNNNNNNNNNNNNNNNNNNNNNNNNNNNNNNNNNNNNNNNNNNNNNNNNNNNNNNNNNNNNNNUGUACCUUAGCGGAUUGCAGGGCGCUUCUAACAUACAUGCCACCCUUUGGAAGUCAUGUUGUAGGCUUGUCCUGUUUGGUUUAUGUUGGCAUUGCAUUAAGAAGUUCAACGUGAUACCUGCAGGUUAACUGUUUACUGAUAAUUACUUAUUCGGCGGCGUGCGCAUAUUAUUCCCUUACUUCGCCGGCAGGUCCAUGGAAAGUCCCCGAAAAGAUUACAUAACGUUGCAAAACUCCUUUCAGUGCUUUCGGAAAAGAGGUCCUAGAUCUUGAGACCCUGGUAAGCCAGAAAUCGCUGACGGCUAGCGCUGUAAGCGUACCUUUUCCAUCUCCUGUAUUUUCAAAGCAUACACACGCGCGAUACUUAAGAAUACGAAAAUUUUAAACAGUUUAACAGUUCAUGUGGAAGCGUUUGCGGUGCAACUGGCGCGAACAGGACACCAGAGGUCACAGGAAUUACAGCUCUUAUGACUACUAGCAGUAUGUGUGCGUGGUUGUUACAGCAGUAGAUCUUAGGGACGAGGGGUACCUGACGGCAAUGCAUGGGCUCCAUCGAUGCAUGUGCCUCGGCAUGAAGGGUGAAUACAAUACGUUUCAUAUGCACAGACCUCAUAGUUUGCAGCAUUUUAAGGGAGGUCAAAUGUGUUUCGCACGCAGCAGCUAGUGCAGCUUUGGCCCGAACACUGUAUAUACGAGCGGCCUACAUAAAGGCAUACCUUUAUACAACGAUUAUAGGCUCUCACAGCUUUUCUUGCGUACACAUGAUAACCUAUAGCCUUCAGGCCUAUAGACCAUGCUGUAUACAACAGAUCGCCUAUAGGUGUGUUGUAUACGAUCAUAUACGCGAAAUCACCUAUACUCCACAUAUUCCGCGGUCCUACCUAUUAGGCGAUGGCCCGGCCUAUAGGUGACUUCCAAUUUUAGAGACGUCAAUGCUGGGAUUCAUGUUGAGGAGUGCUGGCCGGGCAUACUCUGUGUAAGUCCGGAUGUGCUGGGAGAGCGUUGAAGGGAGCACAAUUCUCAGGGCCUCAUCCUUCUUAAAGCGCUCCGUCUUGUGAUGGAUGGUCUCCAUCACAAGACGACGGCCCCUGCUGCUGCUGCUCCUGCUGCUGCUGCUAGCGCCAUGGCUGCCAUCCGCCCCUGCCCCUGCCCUUGCUACAGGAAACACCUCGACCAGGUUGUUGCCGCGGCAGUCCAUCUGGAAGCAGUCUUGCUGCUUGCAGGUCUGCAUGCCUGUCACCAUCAAGGUGCUCAACACGGACAAGCGGACAGGCGGAAUGUAGACACCAGAUAUCAUCUCCGCCAGCAGUGCAUGCAUGAGCAGGACAGCGGUGCUGUAAGUGACGGGCCCAUUAGUUGAAGAUACUGAUAUGUGCAAGGUAUUUCUUAAUACCAAUCCGAGGAAAAUCGCUACUUUCCUUACUGAGGUUUUUGAUGAGCGUCAACAGCGUGCUCUGGAGCCUCACGGCUCGUGAGGGCACCCGCCGCGUCGGCGGCGGAAAUACUGUAACCACAAUACAAUACAAUUAGGCCCAGCAGCAGCAAGGUCUUUCUCCAGCAUCGCCUGUGCCUUAUCCCACAGCGCACGCACAAAAGAUAGUACCUCGCUUUUGCUAGGCAGACCAUCAUCAGGCGGGGAAGCGGUUGUUGGUGGUGCUGCAGCUGCUGGCUUCUUCUUGGUGGCUGCUGUCUUGGUGGCAGCUGGGUGAUGCUUCACAGCAGCAGCAGCAGCAGCAGCAGGACCACCACCACCACCACCAGCAAUGGCACACAUUUUGGACUGCUGCCGCUGGUGGUUCACCACCACCUCCGAACCCUUGUCCUCCUCCUCUGCAUCCCCUGUCUCCUCAUCACUUGUUACCACCAGUGUAGGUGGUGGUGCCGCCUUGGCAGCUCUUGGGUAGUUCCUCCGCACUUGUUGCCUCACCACCUUGAGCCACUCAUGCACCCUGAUGAGGUGUGCAACCUAAUGAUGAUGUAGAGGGAGGGAUGUAAUCAAAUGAAUGGGAAAGGGGCACACAUGUUAUAGGCAGCAGCAGCACAUAUAGAGAAUAGCACAGGGCAGGGAGAGUGAGAGUAAGAUGCAACGGUGGCACUUCAAUAUGCACCAUGGCAUCCAACCGGGUGUGUGUCUGUAUGUGUAUCUGUGUGGGUGUGUGCGUGUGUUUCUGCGUGUGUGUGUGUGUGUAGGUGUGCAUCUCAUACAACUAUCUGACCGGGCCUGACACUGGCCAGGGGCUGCUGCCCAGUCCAAUGGGAAGACCACCUAAGGGGUGAGAUAUGCCUCUGCCACCUCCUAAGCAGCUGACAGCCACAAGUCUCCAUGACUGGCUCAUCCACUCCUUUAGUGAGUUAUACUGCACCCAUGAAUUUACUCACCUUCAUCUCCGGAUCUGGCAGGGACCUUGUGUCGACCUGCCUCAGGUACUCAACUGUUUUGAUGGAGUUCUGGAACUCCACGUCUGCCUUUGUACGGCAGACACGAUGGACCAUGAAGUCCAUAUAGCUGAUUAUGAGGUGCUGCACACGGGUAAGCAUUGAUGUUGUGGGAGGUGUGGGUUGUGGGGGUUGAGGUGGGGCUUAGGGUGGGGCGGGAGGUGGCAUGUGUGGAGGGAGAGGAUGGAGGGCAUUGUAUUCGCAACAUAGCUGUGGCAUGAGCUGCGAAGCAAAAGUAUAGUGUCUCCAGAUUAGGGUUGCAUAAAUGGCGUGCGACAGCUAUAUGGUAUUUAGGGUUUAGUCUCCAUCUGUGUCACUUGUUGUUUUUGCUUGUCAGGUCCAUACAUCCAGCGAACUAAUGUACCUAAUCUUCACACCACAAAAGCACAUACACAUACACAUACACAUACACAUACACAUACACAUACACAUACACAUACACAUACACAUACACAUACACACCUGGUUGGAGAACAGCCUCAACGACAGGGAGGUCAAGCUGACCUUCAUCCAGCCGUGGGCGAAGCCAAGGAACUUGGAUACCGUGCUCUUGAGGCCCCGAUAGGUGGAUUGACGUACCAUUCCAGUCCCCUGGCGCUCAAAAUUGUAGGGCUGCGUCCAGAACGCCUCAAAGUCAUCGAUUUCGGAGGUGAUGGGCAUCAUGGAUGGCAUUUUGCCUUUAAAUUUCUGAAAUAUGCCAAACUGGCUGAUGUCUGUACUGUCCCACAGCUUCCUGGGGAGGGCAGUGGGAAACUCCUCCCCCACCGGGUAAAAGAGCGACUUUGGGGAUGCUGGGGGGCCCUGUUGUCGUGCAGCUCCUGCAGCUCGAGAGGGUGCAGGCUGGUGGCUAGUGGGGGUCGCUACUUGUGAUGAAGGCAGAAGAUUAGGGGAGGUGACGGGGUGGCGGGGGGUUGGCCUGCGGCCGGCAGCAGCAGCAGAUUGUGCAGGGUGCACAAGGGGCGAGUUGCAACUGGGGAUGGCGGUGGCAGUGGUUGCUGCUGCUGUUGCUGCUGUUGCUGCUGUUGCUGCUGUUGCUGCUGUUGCUGCUGUUGCUGCUGUUGCUGCUGCUGCUGCAUUGGUGGUGGUGGCAGCGGUGGUGGCGGCAGCGGUGGCAGUGGCAGCGGUGGCAGUGUUGGCAGCAGUGGUGGCAGUGGCGGCAGUGGUAGCAGGAGCCGUAGCAGUGGCAGCGGUGGCAGUGGCAGCGGUGGCGGCAGCAGUGGAGGUGGUGGCAGUGGGCUGGGCCGCAUUCAUAGUCGGUGUGUCUUCUGCCUCCAGCUGAUGUGUGGCCAUCAUGGCCCCACACCGCUUCCCUGGGGGCUGCAGCCGCUCGAAUGCAGUGGCCUUGGCCAGUUGUACAGGUGUCAUUUCUGGACUUGUGGCACUCAAUGGCGGCCGCUUCAGUUUAAGCUCCUUGAUUGCAGAAGCCACCGGAGCAAGCUCUGCACUCCGGUGCAAAGCUUUGGCCAUGGCUGUGCAGCUUGCCAGCUUCACUGAAGGUGUUGAGCUGUGUAUGGCUUUGAUGGCCUUCAGCCUGCAAAGGAGCAUGCUGUCGUUGGUUGUAUAUUGCUUUAGAUGUGGGCGCUCUUUCAACCACCCAUGGACAACCCUCUUCAGAAGGGGGGUGGCCUGCUUCUGCACCUCCUCUGCCACCUGGUUGACCACCAUCAAGUUCUGGCCGCCACCAGCCUUCCGGACCUCUGCCUCAUUGGACACCAGGAUGAACCUCAAGCUACCCAUGCCCUCUAUGAACACGGUUGUGUCCCACACUGCCCAACGCUGCAUGUAGAAAAUCAUGGGCAACAAGGUUCGACAGUAGUUUUCAGCAUGUGGUGUUAUUGCUAGGUGCAGGUGCUCUUAUAGGGGCAGAGGCGGAUUAUCUGUGUUAUUGCUUGGGGGAUACAAAGCAGCUGUGUGUGGUGACCAUGUGGCCAGCACAGGAUGCAGGUAUAACGUUUGACAAUCACCAUCAGUAUGUGUGUGUAAGUGUGUGUAAGUGUGUGUAAGUGUGUGUAUGUGUGUGUAUGUGUGUAUGUGUAUGUGUAUGUGUGUGUGCAUGUGCGUGUGUAUGUGUGUAUGUGCGUGUGUGUGUGUGCGUGUGCAUGUAUAUGUGUAUGUGUGUAUGUGCGUGUGUAUGUGUGUAUGUGCGUGUGUGUGUGUGCAUGUGUGCGUGUGUGCAUGUGUGUGUGCAUGUGUGUGCAUGUGUGUGUGCGUGUGGAUGUGUGUAUAUGUGUAUGUGCGUGUGUCUGUGUGUCUGUGUGUAUGCGUGUGCAUGUGUGUGUGUGUAAAUGGCCACAUGCAUGUGUUGUGUCGUGGGCCAAGUCAUACUUCCACGGGACUUAGGGUUUUUAGGGUUUAGGGUUUUAGGGUUUUAGGGUUUUAGGGAGUACACACGGGGGGAAAGAAUGGGCUAUUGCAGCGAAGCAACGCCCCAGAUGAGUGCUAAAAACGGUGCAUUAGAACAUCUUAUUUUAGGCAUAGCCGAAAAUGUGGUUUGAAGAGGGGCGUCGGAGCGGCGUCGUACGGUGCAGUUAGUGGUUGUUAUUUUGAAUUGCUAUUUGUUCGGUGGUGUUUAGUCUUGUUGAAUUAUCUUCCGGGCGAUCUCGGACUCGGCUACUAGUUGACACGAGCCCUCCGUACCAGAACAGCUGCUAGCUGCCGCUGGUUUUGUCCGUUGGUUAGCGGUGUGAAUUUGUCGACCUUUUCUUUCGGUCUUAUCAUCCACAGCUCAUUUCAUCAGUUCUUCCGGUGUUAGUUGCUGUAAACAUGCCGCCCUUUGACCAUCUGCGCACGAUCACCGACUGCGAUCGAGAGCUGGUGGCCUUCCCACCGCUUUCAUCGGACGAAAUAGACUUAUUGCAACGAGUAGAAGACCAGCUCCUGGCCAUCGAUGAAGCGUUGGCGGCAGACCUCGGACAGCAGGAAGAGCAUCUGCCCGCGCGAGCCUCGAAAUCAGCCAAAGAGGCCCACACGGCCAAAAUCGAGUCUACUCGGCGCAAGUAUGAGGCUCAGCGUUCGAGGAUCCUUCGAGCCAACCCGUCCUUCACGGACCUGAAGACUCGCGAUGCCGCUCGGCUCGCGAUCCAAGAGCGCAAGCUUCAGCUCGUCUCUGGCGUGCCGCCGCAAGGCUGGCACCCCCUCCCAAAUGUGGUCGAGGAAGACGCAGUGAUAUGCUCGGCCUCGCAGCAGACAGAGAGGACGUCCUAGACGCCGUGCCGGUGUGGGGAUCGAUGUUCAAAGCGGCAGGAGGACAGCGCCUGGCGUCCGACCAAUCAGCUUUCAACAGUCAUGCCAACCGCGUCGUCAACCACAACAUUGCGGCCGCUCAGGCGGCUGCAGCAGAGUUCGACGGGACACAGGACCCCGAAGCACGGGCGCAGCUGGCCGUGCAGGUGGCGCAACACUACAAGAUAGCAUCCGAGGCGCAGCAGACUCAGAAGCAGCUCAACGACAUGUCACAGCUGCUGCCCUACAAAGAGGUCAUCCGCCUGGCAAGGGAUGGGGACCCGCGCAAGACCUCCCUCGUCGCCUGCCUCGCUUCUCUCUCCUCCGAGCAGCGGGCGUACCUGGGCGCGGCGCUUACAGGACAGACUCAGUCGGCCAGCCGGCCCAGCUCCAAGCGGCCCUUCGCCGCCACAUUGCCCCCCGAGGGGGGCCCUCAAGAGGGCCCCGAGGACAUCACGUGCCUAAUUUGCAACCAGCGGGGCCACCGCUUUCGAAACUGCCCACAACUCCAGGCCAUGCCCCGGGACCAGCAGCAGGCAGCGGUUGACAAGGCUCGGGCGCGCUUGCGGGCGGGCGCCCGCGGGGCACCAGCUUCAGCAUAGGUCACGGAGGCGCCGGCCGCCGCUUGCCCCCUCCCUGGAACGCCACAGGAGCGGCCGGGGCCUGGGGGCAUACCCAUCAAGGCGGCCGGCGCCCAACAACAAGCGGACGUCGCUGCCCAACGUGAGUUCCAUAAGGGGUUGCUUGUGCACCCCAUCCCCGUUGGGCCUUGCUUGCGUGUCGGGAAGAGGCCGAGUUUUAGUGCGGCGUGCCCUGCUUAGUGCGUCUGUCAGUUUUUUUUCGGGGGAUAGACAACCCGUGUUGCCCUGUGUUAGGUCGUACUUGCCUUGUCCGUGAACCGGUGUUUGAGCUGCCCUCCCCGUCGGGCGAUAGACGGGGCGCGCACCGCGAUAUCGGCCCCCUCCUCGGGGAUAAGGAGGCGUCUUGCCGACGUUUAGCCCAGUUGGAGGGCCCCCACACGCUGCGGGUUAGAGCUGCCCUCCCCGUCGGGCGAUAGACGGGGCGCGCACCGUGAUAUCGGCCCCCUCCUCGGGGAUAAGGAGGCGUCUUGCCGACGUUUAGCCCAGUGGAGGGCCCUCACACGCUGCGGGUUAGAGCUGCCCUCCCCGUCGGGCGAUAGACGGGGCGCGCACCGCGAUAUCGGCCCCCUCCUCGGGGAUAAGGAGGCAUCUUGCCGACGUUUAGCCCAGUGGAGGGCCCUCACACGCUGCGGGUUAGAGCUGCCCUCCCCGUCGGGCGAUAGACGGGGCGCGCACCGCGAUAUCGGCCCCCUCCUCGGGGAUAAGGAGGCAUCUUGCCGACGUUUAGCCCAGUUGGAGGGCCCUCACACGCUGCGGGUUAGAGCUGCCCUCCCCGUCGGGCGAUAGACGGGGCGCGCACCGCGAUAUCGGCCCCCUCCUCGGGGAUAAGGAGGUUGGCAGCUGAUUGUUCCUGGGGGUGCUUGGCUCGGUUUCCCCCCCCCCCCUGUCCCGUUUUGAUGAGUGUAGGUGCGGGCCCCGCGCCUCCGCAGCAACUUGAGUUGGUCUCCGACGCAGUGGCUGCAGAGGCCGCUGCAGCAGUGGUAGCACAGGCGUCAGCCUUAGUGGCGGCGGCCAUGAUCCCCGAACCGCUCCAUCCGGCCCCGGGACGCCCUUGGUUCGGGCAGGCGGGCAGCAAGCUCGUCACCGAGGCAUGGCUGCGGUAUGGAGUGAAUACGCCAGCGUCCCGCAACGCGGCCGUCUGGACAUUCCACACGGAGCCUAACCCGUCCCACCACCUCCGUAACUAUCCCUCUAUCCUCCCGCACCUCGCCGACAUGAGCCAGCACUUCGACGACUUCCUGGCUUCCGGCGUCACCGAGCAAUAUGACCCCAGCGUGCAUGGCCCUGAGACCGACUUCGCGACCGUCGUCAACCCCCUGCACGUCGUCCUCAAGCCAGAUGGCUCCAUCCGUCCCAUAACCGACCCCUCUCGGUCUGGGGUCAAUGAGUGCAUGACCAAGCUCCCCUGUCCGCUCCCCGAUCUCGCCACACUUCUCGAACAGCUGCCAGCCAACGGCUUUCUGGGGAAACGCGACCUGGCGAGCGGAUUCCACCACGUCAAGCUGGCACCAGAGGCGCGCCAAUUCAUGGCCUUUCGGCACCCCUCCACCGGCGCGCUGCAAUGAUGGGUCUCCCUUCCCUUCGGCGCCAGUCAAAGCCCAGCGAUCUUCGUGGAGCUUACCACCGCCGCCGCCAGCAUUUUCCAGCAGGAGUGCGACCACCGGGGCCUGCAGGUGCGCAUCUUCGUCUACGUAGAUGACUUCAUGAUCAUGGGUCACUCGCACGCGGACGUCCAGGGCGCCUUUCAGAUCCUCGAUGACAUUGGCACUGAGUUGGGCCUCGAGUGGAAGGCCAGCAAGGACCGGGGGCGCGACACCCCCUUACAGCAGCUGGAGUUCCUGGGCAUGCUCUUCGACACCGUCCGCAUGGAGAUGCGUAUGGCCCCCGACAAGCGGCAGCGAUAUGCCGGGGAAGUCACCGCCAUCCUAGAGGCGGCCGCCACAGGGCCCGUCCGCCGAGGGGACCUUCAGACACUCGCCGGCCGCCUCACGUUUGUGGCGCGAGCGUGCAGAUGGGGCUACACAUUCCUGCAGGGCAUCUACGACGCUCUCGGCACCCUGCAGUACCCCCCGCCGUCAUCAGUCGCCCUUCCCGAAGAGGCUCUUGACGACCUUCGCUUCUGGCAGGACGUCCUCCGCCCGGACUCCUCCGUCUGGGACGGCGUCAAGCGCUGCGUUUUGGCUAAUCUGGACUUGGUGAGGGGAGAGUUCUUGGGGGAAGAGGGCGCCACCAUCUUCACAGAUGCGAGUGGCGCGGGCUUCGGGGCGGCCUGGGACCGGGCCGAGGUGCAAGGCCACUGGUCCGAAGGGGAGCGACGACUGCACAUCGGCUGGCUGGAGCUCUCAGCGGUCCUGCGGGCGCUGCAGUCCUGGGUGCCACGGUUGGCGGGGCGCCGGGUGCUGGUCCGGUGCGACAACACCCAGGCGGUAGCGGCCAUCAACCACGGUUCCACACGCAUCCCGGACGGAUGAGCCGUCAGCCGGCAGCUGGCGCUGCUGGCGGUGCGGUACCAGUUUGAAGUGAGGGCGGAGCACAUCGCCGGGGAGCUUAACGUCAGGGCAGACCGGCUCAGCCGCAAUCUGGAGUUGGCCCGCAGCCAGAAUCUGCGCCUCAAACCUCGCACGUUCUGCUCCCUGGUCGGGUUUGGGCAGUAUGCUCCAUCGGUGGACUGUUGCUGCGACGUGCUAGGUGUCAACGCUCAGCCAGGCUGCUCCACCUUCUUCAGCCCGGACAAGUCGGUGCUGGGCCAGGCGGCAACCCUCGCUGGCAAAGUCCUGUGGGCCUUCCCACCCAAGGAUUUGGUCGGGGAGGUGCUGCUCGAGAUCGUGGCGGCUGCGAGGCUCGACCGGAGCACACGCGCAACUGUCGUCGUGCCAAACUGGCCGGAGCGCUCGUGGUUUUGGCGGUUCGUCGUGGGCACCGGGCAAGGGGCAACCCCGUUUGUGGUAUCGCUGCAGCUGUCUUGCCCAAGGGUCGGCGGCACUGCCUUUUCCCGUGGGGGGCCGAGGCCGCGCCCAGCGAGUACGACUUGAUUGUGCUCAGGCUCAAUUAGAUUGCCCCGCAUCCCCCCUUGGCCAGUGUCGGCAGGCGGUUUCCAGGAGGAGGGAAGCUGCUCCGUCUGCGGGCGGCGAUGUGGAGCUAGGGAUCUACGCUGCGAGGCCUGCCCCCGCUCGACCCAUCGUCGGUGCCUUGGAAUCGCCCCAGGCGCCUACCCCGGUGGUUGGUACCGCUGCACUUCUUGCUUGCUUGCGGCGGCGGGUAUCGGGUCAGUGGCCCAGGGGAGUGUUACGGAGGAACUAGCACGGCUAGCCGUGGAGUUGCACGGCAGCGCGGUCGCAGACAGCUCUUUGGUCACAUACGAGUCGGGGCGGCGGCGCUUUGUACGCUUCUGUGCGGAGGUCGCAGGGGUGCCGGAGGCGGACGCUUUGCCCCGCCAGCGUGGGUCCGACCUCAAUCGGGACCUGGUGUGUCUGUUCAUAGCGCAUGCAGUUGGCCGGUACGCGACCUCCACCGUCACCGGCACGCUGAGCGCCCUGGCGGACUGGCAGCGGUUCAUGGGAGUCUCGCCAGAGGCCUAUAUCAGCCGCGACCCGCUGGUCAAGCGAACCCUGGGCCAAGCGUUGCGAAGGACUGCUGCGGGGCCGGAGUCGGCACCGUCCAUGGCAAAGGCACCUUUGCCCCUGGGGGUGCUAAGGCUGCUCGUGGCGUGGCUACGGUGCAGGGCAAAUGCGGAGCCGCGGAGGGCGUCGGAGUUCACACAGGACGCCUGCUGGUUGGUUUUGGGGUUUUUCGGGAUGCUCCGGAGGAGCGAGUUGGCGGCCCUGACAGUGGGCUGCAUUGAGGAGUUGCCGGGAGGGGGUGUAGGGCUGCGGAUCGUACGUAGCAAAACGGACCAGAAGGGAGAGGGGACGUUGGUGUGCCUGGCAGCGCUCACCCAGAGCGGCAUCCCCAUUGCUCGCAUAGUACAGCGGCACCUGGAGUGCGUGGGGACGGCCGAGGGUCACUCCCCGCUCUUCGUACGGGGAAUCACCGGGCCGGGCAAGCAGGGGACGGCGUGGCGGCGCGGGGAUUUCACUAUUAGGCUGCAUGCGUUGCUGGGGGAGUUGCAGGGGUACGAGCCGGAGUUGAGGCUAGAUCUCGCUAGAAUAUCGGCCCACAGCUUGCGCAAGGGGGGGGCCACUGCGGCUGCCAAUGCUGGGGUGGGUCUGGAGGAGAUUAAGGCGCAUGGGCGGUGGAGGUCUGAUGCGGUACUGGUCUACAUCCGCCGGUCCGUGGCGGUGAGGCGGGCAGUGGUGGAGCGCAUGUGACGCGACUGGGUGAGGGGGAUGUUUCGCUGGGUUAGGCGUGGGGCCAAAGUAACCCAAGCGAGGCCGUCGGCUGCCUGCUGGUUACCAAUGCGGAAGAGCACGGUAGCCCGGAAGGGCCGCACUAAGUAGCAUGCGGGCUCUGGCAGGCAGGCUGGGCGUCUCUUAUCCCCAACCUUAUGUCCACGUCCCCGGUGCCUUGUCCGUAUUAGUUGUACUGUAACGAACGCGUUUUGGGUUUCUCGUCCUGGUUCGUGGUCUGGCUAGCUGCUCAGCCCGGAUUCAAAAUCUUAUUUUAGGCAUAGCCGAAAAUGUGGUUUGAAGAGGGGCGUCGGAGCGGCGUCGUACGGUGCAGUUAGUGGUUGUUAUUUUGAAUUGCUAUUUGUUCGGUGGUGUUUAGUCUUGUUGAAUUAUCUUCCGGGCGAUCUCGGACUCGGCUACUAGUUGACACGAGCCCUCCGUACCAGAACAGCUGCUAGCUGCCGCUGGUUUUGUCCGUUGGUUAGCGGUGUGAAUUUGUCGACCUUUUCUUUCCCACCCGCCCUCCCUUCCGAACUUUGGAUUCCUGGUUUUGUGAGAGGCCAGCCUUUUAGUUUAGAGGCACGGGGGAUGUUUCGCUGGGUUAGGCGUGGGGCCAAAGUAACCCAAGCGAGGCCGUCGGCUGCCUGCUGGUUACCAAUGCGGAAGAGCACGGUAGCCCGGAAGGGCCGCACUAAGUAGCAUGCGGGCUCUGGCAGGCAGGCUGGGCGUCUCUUAUCCCCAACCUUAUGUCCACGUCCCCGGUGCCUUGUCCGUAUUAGUUGUACUGUAACGAACGCGUUUUGGGUUUCUCGUCCUGGUUCGUGGUCUGGCUAGCUGCUCAGCCCGGAUUCAAAAUGCAUAUUUGAAGCUUAGCCUAACGUUGUCCUUGGCCUCCGACUGCAACCACUAACCUCCAGAGCGUGGCUUGGAGCUUUUCGAGUCGAGGAACGUACGUCACACAUCGCUACAAGGUGUCUAUGGAUAGGGAGGGUCGGGGAAUUGGGGCUGGGAGGGUUGGGAGGGUCGUGGCACGGGAGUUUGCGGGGUAUGGGGGUUAGGGAGGGUCGGGGAAUAGGGGUUGGGAGGGUUGGGAGGGUCGUGGCACGGGGGUUGGCGGGGUAUGGGGGUUAGGGAGGGUCGGGGAAUCACAUUUCACAACUCACUUUUCAUGUCCCCCCCUCCCUUUGCCCCCUAAGGCCUGCCACACCAGGGAGGACGUGGAGUGCUGGCACUUUUCCUCAAAGUUACCAAACAGCAUAUAAAGGGCAGCGGGUUCUCUGUCUAGAUCUUUUGCAUGGGGGAUCUUGGAAAACCAGCAAACCUACAUGGCUGGCGUAGCUACACAAACAAAAGCCUUUUUAUCCCCCGGUUUCCGAGCUUAAGUUUUCCCAAAGCUCUCAGCCCAGUGCAGAGAGACUGUACGUCCUGUACUUGAUCAAGUACUGCACAUACAGUCUCUCUGCACUGGGCUGUGAGCUUUGGAAAACUUAUAGGCUGUGAAACCGGGGGAUAAAAAGGCUUGUUUAGUUUGUGUAGCUAGGCCUUCAUGAAAAGGCAACUUCUCCUCUGUACCUCAGAAAGAAUCGUGAUUAAGAACAUGUGGUCCUACACAGGCGCAUAUCUCAAGUCUGUGUACAUCUUUUACCUUUUAAUAUAUUAGGGGGCAGCAGGGCACCUGUGGAUAGUUUUGGAAAAGCUAGUUAAGGAGGAGCAGCAAUAUAAAAGAUGGCAAACCCGUGGGAGCAUUUUAGUCAUGAAGCUCCAGACUUAAGUCAGACUUGACUUUUAGGGCUUUGGGGCAGUUACAAUAGUAUACGUGGAGUGCUGCAGGCACUCGUGUGAUGCAGCAGUUCUGUAUAAUAUAGAAGUUGUCUUGUCUUGUAUGUCCUUGAGGCACAAAGUCCCACAUUGCAGCUAAAAGCACGAGCAGAAGCUGUAGUAUAGUAUAGCUUGUAUGCUUUUUAUGCUGCCAUCAUCAACACUGCUCCAGAUGCCUACGCCAUGGAUGGGGAUGAAGCUCAUCGUCAUGCCUCAAACGAUUACAUAUAUGCUUCUAGCACUACAAUCCCCUUCCGUCCUGGCCACCCACACAUACACAUGCUCAUAUGCUCAUGCAGUGCUGCCAUCAUAUGUGCACAUCGCAGCUACAGGGCAAAGGACUACAGUCUGUAGCUGACUAAAUGUCUCAACAUCAUCAUCACAAUCACCCGCAGCAGCAGCAGUGCUUCAGACUAACAUUUCUCAUACUACACACAGGCCCCUCCUCCCUGUGAAGCAAUGUCUGGGCAGCAUCGUGUCCUCUUCCUGCGCUGUGCUGCCACCGAUAGUACUGGAUCCUUGAUACCAGAAAGAAGGCUGCUGGCCCCUGCUGCACAGGAGCCAGGCUGCUGUGUAGCCCACACUCCCAUCCGGAUGGAUCCAUGCCUCGGUGUGGCCAUGCCAGUUAAAUUCAGCACGUGUUCCUAACUGUCUGCUAGCUGUGUUCAUCAACUUCCUCCCAACGACCUACCACGAAUUGUUUUUCAACAGUCAGGCAACUGUUUGGCCAACUGUCUCCGAUCAGUCAGCCAACUGCCUCUGAACUGUGUAUUGACUUGACUUUUUGCCAACUGCCAACCCACCUAUAUAUAUAUUACUAGUGUCCUGACCACCAACAAUAAUGUGUGUGCCUGCGGUAACUACCUUUUUUUUACUUAGUAAGUGCCCAUAAAGUGUCUGCCACCACAUCAUCUGCCUGAUUGCCUGCUAACUGCCCACCAACUGCCUUCCAACUGUCUCACAACUGACUAACAACCGACGUACUGAUUUUAACUGUCCCAUCAACCAUGUGGCUUGAAACCGACUGACUGUCCACCUGUCAUGUCAGCAACUGCCUGCCCAACUGUCUGUCCACAGCCUGCUCAACUGUGUGCCAACGGUUGUGGGGUCAACUGUCUGCCAAAUGCCUACAACUGUCUUAUAACUGUCUUAAUAACUGUGUACCAAACAGUUGUGUGCCAACUGUCUGCCAACGGUUGUGGGUCAACUGUCUGCUAACUGUCCACCAACUGUCCUAAUAACUGUGUACCAAACAGUUGUGUGCCAACUGUUUGCCAACGGUCUACCUAUUUACCUACAUCUAUCUGCAUCUAACUAUCCAUGCCUACGUACCUAAUGUAUCGAGAUAGACAGACAAACAGACAGAUGGGUAGUUGUAUACAAACAGACAGACAGACAGGCAGACACAAGCAGGUGAUGUUGGGGUAACANNNNNNNNNNNNNNNNNNNNNNNNNNNNNNNNNNNNNNNNNNNNNNNNNNNNNNNNNNNNNNNNNNNNNNNNNNUCAACGUUGCGCCCAGGACAACACUUGCUGCAGCCAAGAAACCCUAAGUAUAUCUCUAUGCGUUCAUCCCCUUAGUCUUAGGGUUGCCCCUAAGACGACGUAGAUACCACCUCCUGACACCGCCGUACCGGAAAGCACUUUUCCGGUACGGGCAGAGCCAGCAGCAUUCCAGGUUCAGAAUUGAACCCAAAGGCAGAAAUCACCAUUCUGAGAGUUGAACGUCGCCAUCCAUGAUUUAGACAUACCAUUCCAUGGCCUGUGCAUGCGCGUCCGUGUCCUUCACUACGUUGCCAUCACGUCCACCAACGCACACUUGACAUCCGUCCUGUCCAGAGCCGUCGUCGCGAGCUUCGACAACAUGAAUGUAAGCAACAUUCGGAACAUCCGUCCUGUUUGCAUGGGAUUGUCGUCCUCCCGCCGGCGGAAAAGCCACUCAACGUAUUGCUUUAGAAUUCCUACCCAAGCCUAUAACACAAACAUAAUAACAUUGUCCUAGCAUUCCAUAGCCCUACUUGACUUGCCUACAAACGAGUUGCCCCGGUCGGACCCUCCAAGUCUAGCCCAGUAGCUUACUGUGGGCUGACGUUAGUGAACAUGGAAUGCAAGCUGUGUGUGUGCUCAUCCCCUUUGAAAAAGGUUUGACUACGACUUGACACACAGACUCCCUCCUGCAACAAAUGCCCAUUUUCCGUACGAGCGUGACGAGCAACAUAAGAGAUCCAGAACCGACCACACCGGCAGAAUUCAUCGUUCAGUUCCUUAAACCUUCAUUUACGGUUUCCCUACAAACAGCUCCAUGCCUUGGAUAUGCGUCUGUUUUCUUCCUUACGAACAUCACAUUUUACGUUCGUCAGGGCCAGAGUCUUUGUGGCAAUCUUUCAUAUUCAGCACGCAAUGAACCCUUCAUGGACACCAGCUGCAUUAGCCUGGCUUGUCGUCCUUGCGGCAGCCUGGGCAAAUGGCCCAACGCGAUUUAAGUAUGCUGCUGCUUGCGGCCAAGAAACAAGCAUUCCAAAACUGUCAUAUCAUCCCCUGGUUUCGUUGUAUUUGGUUUGCAUACAAGUCGACGCGGAUACUACCUGCUGUGACCGCCGUAUCAGAAGACACUUUUCCUGUACGGGCGGAACCAACAACAGCGAAGUUCAAAAAACCCGACUAGUAGCUAAAAGUCAGCAUUCAUAGAGUUAAACGUCCCCGUCUGUGACUUGUACAUAACAAUCCAAGCAUCUCCUAAGCGUCUUUCUCCCCCUUCGUAAGGCCAUCGCGUCCACCAACGCACGUCUUACAUCCGCCCAGUACAGUGCCGUUGAAGCUGUGACGAGUAAUAUGAACGCUUAAGUAAUUCAUGAACAUCCGCUGCGUUUGCCUAGCAUUGUCGUAAAGGAGGUCGCGUCGGCAUCAGGCCAUCAACGUUGCGCCCAGGACAACACUUGCUGCAGCCAAGAAACAGAAAGUAUAUCUCUAUUCGUUCAUCCCCUUGGUCUUAGGGUUGCCCCUAAGACGACGUAGAUACCACCUCCUGACACCGCCGUACCGGAAAGCACUUUUCCGGUACGGGCAGAGCCAGCAGCAUUCCAGGUUCAGAAUUGAACCCAGAGGCAGAAAUCACCAUUCUGAGAGUUGAACGUCGCCAUCCAUGAUUUAGACAUACCAUUCCAUGGCCUGUGCAUGCGCGUCCGUGUCCUUCACUACAUUGCUGCUUGCGGCCAAGAAACAAGUGAUGCAAAACGUUGCCUCAUGUCCAUCCGUCCGGUCCACACACGUAAGAGCAAUUUUCCAUAACACGGAUGUAAGCACCGUUCGGGAUGUCCGUCGUGUUUGCCUCAGGAAGUCGUCCUCCCGGCGGCGGAUCGGACCCUAAGCACCGGCCGGUACCAGCUGGUACCAGCUCCUGGAGCCGCUUAAUCGAUGCUGAUCGUGAUGUGUAAUUGGUCCAGCAUAAAGCACAUUCUUCAUCAUCCGGAAGGGAUCCCUUAGCCGUAGUACAUGUAAAGGAUGCGCAGGACAAGCAGUGUAAGAGGUACUCGGAAAAGAACGCAAAAAAGACUGUUCCGUCCAAAUAGCUAACAAGCUGUACCUUGGCGGAUUGCAGGGCGCUUCUAACAUACAUGCCAUCCUUUGGAAGUCAUGUUGUAGGCUUGUCCUGUUUGGUUUAUGUUGGCAUUGCAUUAAGAAGUUCAACGUGA